rnacentral:rRNA from 1 species
CCUACGGGUGGCAGCAGUGGGGAAUAUUGCGCAAUGGGCGAAAGCCUGACGCAGCCACGCCGCGUGAGCGAUGAAGGCCUUCGGGUCGUAAAGCUCUGUGGGGAGAGAAGAAUAAAGCCUGUGAAGAGCAGGCCUUGACGGUAUCUCCUUAGCAAGCACCGGCUAACUCCGUGCCAGCAGCCGCGGUAAUACGGAGGGUGCAAACGUUUGGCGGUAUCAUUGGGCGUAGAGCGCAGGUAGGCUGCCCGACAAAACCCUGGGCUCAACCCAGGAAGUGCAUCCAAAACUGGCGGGCUUGAAUCUCGGAGGGGGUCGGAGAAUUCCCGGUGUAGAGGUGAAAUUCGUAGAUAUCGGGAGGAAUACCAGUGGCGAAGGCGCCGACCUGGACGAAGAUUGACGCUGAGGUGCGAAAGCGUGGGGAGCAAACAGGAUUAGAUACCCCAGUAGUC